GUCUUAUUGAAUAUAAUUUUAAGUCAAUCUGCCCAAUGAAAAAUUUUAAUGGCUGCAGUAUAACUGACUGUACAAAGGUAGCAUAAUCAAUUGAUUUUUAAAUGAAAUCUGGAAUGAAAGGAUUAAUGAAAUAUGUACUGUCUCAUAUUUAUUUUAUGAAUUUAAAUUUUUAAUAAAAAUGUUAAAAUUUUUUUAUGGGACGAUAAGACCCUAUAGAAUUUUAUAUUAAUUAUUUUUAAAUUAUUAAUAUUUAAAUUUUAAUUAAUAUUUAAUUGGGAGAAUUAUUAAAUUUAAAAAAUUUUAAUUUUAAAAUAACUUUAAUUUAAGAAUAUAUUAUGAUUUUUAAUUUGAAAUUGUUAGAAUAAAUUACCUUAGGGAUAACAGCGUUAUAUUUUUUUAUAGAUCUUAUAGAAAAAAAUGAUUGCGACCUCGAUGUUGAAUUAAGAUAAAUUUUAAAUGUAGAAAUUUAAUAAUUAAGUCUGUUCGACUUUUAAAAUCUUACAUGAUUUGAGUUCAAAUCGACGUAAGU
rnacentral:rRNA from 1 species